UAAUAAGUGUUUUAUGGCACUUUUUAAAUCCAUAUCCACCUUGUGUGCAAUGUCAGUCGAUCUUCUUUAUGGAGAUCGACCAAACAUCAACCUUUAUCUUUUAACUCUUUGUCUGAAAAAUAUUAUGAAUAAACAAUUCGAAAUA
rnacentral:misc_RNA from 1 species